AUGGAGAACGCUGAGGAAGGCGAUGACGAGGACAUGGUUAUGGGUGGAUGCUUCCCGCGGACUAGGCUCUGCCUACUCUGCUGUCCCCCUGAACAGCACCGCCUACCUGGCCGGCCUCCUGAACGGCUCCUCCUACUGCCUCUACCUCCUGAACGGCUCCUCCUACUUCCUCUACCUCCUGAACGGCUCCUCCUAGGUGGCUGGCCUCGAAAACGGCUACUCCUACGUCGUCAGCCUCCAGAACGGCUCCGCCUACUUGGCCAGCCCCCUGAAUGGCUCCGCCCAUAUGGCCGGCCUCUAGAACGGCUCCUCCUCCGUCCUCUACCUCCUGAUAGGCUCCGCCUACCUCCUGAACGGCUCCGCCUCCGUCCUCUACCUCCUGAACGGCUCCGCCUCCGUCCUCUACCUCCUGAUAGGCUCCUCCUCCGUCCUCUAACUCCUGAACGGCUCCGCCUCCGUCCUCUACCUCCGUAAGGCUCCGCCUCCGUCCUCUACCUGGUUUAUGGCUCCAGAGGUCCUGGUCAAGGAUCCCAGCUACAGCACGUAGCUCCUGAACGGCUCCGCCUCCGUCCUCUACCUCCUGAACGGCUCCGCCUCCGUCCACUACCUCCUGAUAGGCUCCUCCUCAGUCCUCUACCUCCUGAUAGGCUCCGCCUCCGUCCUCUACCUCCUGAUAGGCUCCUCCUCCGUCCUCUACCUCCUGAUAGGCUCCGCCUCCGUCCUCUACCUCCUGAUAGGCUCCGCCUCCGUCCUCUACCUCCUGAUAGGCUCCUCCUCCGUCCUCUACCUCCUGAACUGCUCCUCCUACGAAGCCGGCCUCCUGCAAGGCUCCGCCUCCGUCCUCUCCCUCCUGAACGGCUCCGCCUACGUUCUCUACCUCCUGAACGGCUCCUCCUCCGUCCUCUACCUCCUGAUAGGCUCCGCCUCCCAUCCCCUACCUCCUGAACUGCUCCGCCUCCGUCCUCUACCUCCUGAACGGCUCCGCCUCCGUCCUCUACCUCCUGAACGGCUCCGCCUCCGUCCUCUACCUCCUGAUAGGCUCCUCCUCCGUCCUCUACCUCCUGAUAGGCUCCUCCUAUGUCGCCGGUCCCCAGAGCUAUCCCGGCCACCUUUCCUGUCUCCAAUUCAUCCUCCAGAGCGGCUUUGCAUGUAAGCUGGCCUUUUUUGCAACAGGCUACCGACAUUCACCAACCGCUGCCUACGACACCUCCUGGGAAAUCUAUUGGCCCAACACCUUCUCAAAUGCCACCCUAACAAUGGAAAAACCAAUCAGGAGGAGGGGGAAGGGGGGAAUACCUAGAACCACCUGGAGAAGAAGCCCUGAACAGGAUCGAAGGGCGAAAGGGCUGGCUUGGCAACAACUGAAUGGGAAGUCACAAGAAUGGAGAGGGUAGAGGGGAUUCAUCGAUGGCCUUUACUCCCAAGGGAGCUUAAAGGCCUAACCUACUGACCAAGAGGCUGCUAAAGGAAUCAGGAAUGACUGCUGACUGUGGUCAUUACAUAUCUGACUUAUGUACUGUGAUUAUAGAGUGACAGAAAAUGUUAUAUAGGACUAUUUGAGGAAGAACAAAAAAGCAAGGCUUAAUUGCAAUGUAUAGUACAAAUUACUGCCUGGUGGGAUUAAGUAUCAUCAAGUGGGCAUGACAGAUUUCCUCAAAUUGCCUAGGCCUACACCAAGAGGUUUCAUCUUUAAACAUGUAGUGCAAAAAAGCAUGAUUUAAAAUGUAUUUGACAUUGAGUGCAGAAACCCUUUAUAUCAGAAGGAAAAGGAAGCCAACUAAUGGAGAUGGCUUUUAAUUAUGGUGUCAAUUACUUUACUUGUGUAAUUGUAAAAAAAAAAUAUAUAUAUACCGUAUAUAGCCUAUAUACGAAAGUUAAAUCAAACCUUUUUCCCUUUUGAUGUUGUUUAAUUGUAACAAAUGAAGUAAAACUAGUCUUGGACUAGUACUACGCAUGCUUAUGCACGCCCACAUGGUUGAUGGCCGCGUACACCCAGCGAAACCACGUGUUGGAGGUAAACAGCUGUUAUUGGUGACGAACAAGAACCUGAACUGAGAAAAAUGAUUGGGGAUAGAUGUUGGUAUAUGAAGGCAAUAUCCUGAAGCGGCCUUAACACAUAUUAACGAAUGAGCAUAUCAAAAUAUGCCGGAAAAGUCGCUGCAUCGUAAUGAAGUUAACUGGGCUUUAUAUUCGAAAUGUAAUGUAUACAAAUCAAAACCUCAUGUGUUCGCCAUGCAGCAGACCUAGGGGUCUGCGCAGGCAUGUGGCCGAGAUGUGAUUGGAGGGAAACGCGGUGUGGGCGGGGUUUGGGGAACGCGCUGAGAUCAAGCGUGUCUCCGGACUUUCUGUCUUGCUAUUUGAAAGCCCAACGGGGACCACGUGCAUUCACCUUAACCCAUAUAGUCACAUGACUCUUUGCCAAAGCCCACAGCAAGAGGUUCAUUCAUUAAACAUGUGGCACAAAAAGCAUGGAUUUAAAAUGUAUUUGACAGUGAGUGCAGAAACCCUUUAUAACAGAAGGACAUGCUGGAAGAAACUAAUGGAGAUGGCUUUUCAUUAUGGUGGCAUUUACUUUGAUUGUGUAAUUGUAUAUUCAUUUGAAAGUUUAAUAAAACUA
rnacentral:lncRNA from 1 species